UACGUAGGGGGCAAGCGUUGUCCGGAAUUAUUGGGCGUAAAGGGCGCGUAGGCGGUCGUGACAAGUCACUUGUGAAAUCUCCGGGCUUAACUCGGAACGGUCAAGUGAUACUGUCGGACUAGAGUACAGAAGGGGCAACUGGAAUUCUCGGUGUAGCGGUGAAAUGCGUAGAUAUCGAGAGGAACACCUGCGGCGAAGGCGGGUUGCUGGGCUGAUACUGACGCUGAGGCGCGAAAGCCAGGGGAGCGAACGGG
rnacentral:rRNA from 1 species